rnacentral:tRNA from 1 species
CCUUGGGUGGUAUAAACGGUUAACACAUUUUGCUGCAAACCAAAAGGUUGAGGUUUGAGUCCACCCAAAGGC